rnacentral:rRNA from 1 species
UACGUAGGGUGCAAGCGUUAAUCGGAAUUACUGGGCGUAAAGCGUGCGCAGGCGGUUUUGUAAGUCUGACGUGAAAUACCCGGGCUUAACCUGGGAAUUGCGUUGGAGACUGCAAGGCUGGAGUCUGGCAGAGGGGGGUAGAAUUCCACGUGUAGCAGUGAAAUGCGUAGAGAUGUGGAGGAACACCGAUGGCGAAGGCAGCCCCCUGGGUCAAGACUGACGCUCAUGCACGAAAGCGUGGGGAGCAAACAGG